GCAUAUCAAUAAGCGGAGGAAAAGAAACCAACAGGGAUUGCCCUAGUAACGGCGAGUGAAGCGGCAACAGCUCAAAUUUGAAAUCUGGCUUCGGCCCGAGUUGUAAUUUGUAGAGGAUGCUUUGGGCGCGGCCCCGUCUGAGUGCCCUGGAACGGGACGCCACAGAGGGUGAGAGCCCCGUAUAGACGGAAGCCAAGCCUGUGUAAAGCUCCUUCGACGAGUCGAGUAGUUUGGGAAUGCUGCUCAAAAUGGGAGGUAAAUUUCUUCUAAAGCUAAAUACCGGCCAGAGACCGAUAGCGCACAAGUAGAGUGAUCGAAAGAUGAAAAGCACUUUGAAAAGAGGGUUAAAUAGCACGUGAAAUUGUUGAAAGGGAAGCGCUUGUGACCAGACUUGCGCCGGGCUGAUCAUCCGGAGUUCUCUCCGGUGCACUCUGCCCGGCUCAGGCCAGCAUCGGUUCUCGCGGGGGGAUAAAGGCCUCGGGAACGUAGCUCCUCCGGGAGUGUUAUAGCCCGGGGCGUAAUGCCCUCGCGGGGACCGAGGUUCGCGCAUCUGCAAGGAUG
rnacentral:rRNA from 1 species